GGUGAGCGUUAAUCGGUAUUACUGGGCGUAAAGCGCACGCAGGCGGUCUGUCAAGUCGGAUGUGAAAUCCCCGGGCUCAACCUGGGAACUGCAUUCGAAACUGGCAGGCUAGAGUCUUGUAGAGGGGGGUAGAAUUCCAGGUGUAGCGGUGAAAUGCGUAGAGAUCUGGAGGAAUACCGGUGGCGAAGGCGGCCCCCUGGACAAAGACUGACGCUCAGGUGCGAAAGCGUGGGGAGCAAACAGGAUUAGAUACCCUGGUAGUCCACGCUGUAAACGAUGUCGAUUUGGAGGUUGUGCCCUUGAGGCGUGGCUUCCGGAGCUAACGCGUUAAAUCGACCGCCUGGGGAGUACGGCCGCAAGGUUAAAACUCAAAUGAAUUGACGGGGGCCCGCACAAGCGGUGGAGCAUGUGGUUUAAUUCGAUGCAACGCGAAGAACCUUACCUGGUCUUGACAUCCACAGAACUUUCCAGAGAUGGAUUGGUGCCUUCGGGAACUGUGAGACAGGUGCUGCAUGGCUGUCGUCAGCUCGUGUUGUGAAAUGUUGGGUUAAGUCCCGCAACGAGCGCAACCCUUAUCCUUUGUUGCCAGCGGUUCGGCCGGGAACUCAAAGGAGACUGCCAGUGAUAAACUGGAGGAAGGUGGGGGAUGACGUCAAGUCAUCAUGGCCCUUACGACCAGGGCUACACACGUGCUACAAUGGCAUAUACAAAGAGAAGCGACCUCGCGAGAGCAAGCGGACCUCAUAAAGUAUGGUCGUAGUCCGGGAUUGGAGUCUGCAACUCGACUCCAUGAAGUCGGAAUCGCUAGUAAUCGUAGAUCAGAAUGCUACGGUGGAAAUACGC
rnacentral:rRNA from 1 species